rnacentral:rRNA from 1 species
GACGAACGCUGGCGGCGUGCCUAACACAUGCAAGUCGAACGGAAAAGCCCUGCUUUCGUGGGGUGCUCGCGUGGCGAACGGGUGAGUAACACGUGAGUAACCCGCCCUUUGCUUUGGGAUAACUUCAGGAAACUGGGGCUAAUACCGAAUAGCAGCUCCUGCUGCAUGGUGGGGGUCGGAAAGUUGCGGCGGUUGGGGAUGGACUCGCGGCUUAUGAGCUUGUUGGGGGGGUAGUGGCUUACCCCGGCAUUGACGGGUAGCCGGCAUGAGAGGGUGACCGGGUACAUGGGGACUGAGAUAGGGCCCAGAGGGAAACGGGAGGCAGCAGUGGAGAAUAUGGCCCAAUGGGCCGAAGGCGGAUGAAACAACGCCGGGUGCGGGAGGACGGUCGAGUGGGGGGAAACCGCUUUGAGCUGAGACGUAGCGGGAGUGACGGUACUAGGAGAAGAAGCACCGGCUAACUACGUG